rnacentral:rRNA from 1 species
GAUCAACGCUGGCGGCGUGCCUAAUACAUGCAAGUCGAGCGAACGGACGAGAAGCUUGCUUCUCUGAUGUUAGCGGCGGACGGGUGAGUAACACGUGGAUAACCUACCUAUAAGACUGGGAUAACUUCGGGAAACCGGAGCUAAUACCGGAUAAUAUUUUGAACCGCAUGGUUCAAAAGUGAAAGACGGUCUUGCUGUCACUUAUAGAUGGAUCCGCGCUGCAUUAGCUAGUUGGUAAGGUAACGGCUUACCAAGGCAACGAUGCAUAGCCGACCUGAGAGGGUGAUCGGCCACACUGGAACUGAGACACGGUCCAGACUCCUACGGGAGGCAGCAGUAGGGAAUCUUCCGCAAUGGGCGAAAGCCUGACGGAGCAACGCCGCGUGAGUGAUGAAGGUCUUCGGAUCGUAAAACUCUGUUAUUAGGGAAGAACAUAUGUGUAAGUAACUGUGCACAUCUUGACGGUACCUAAUCAGAAAGCCACGGCUAACUACGU